rnacentral:misc_RNA from 1 species
GAAAUGCGAUAAGUAAUGUGAAUUGCAGAAUUCAGUGAAUCAUCGAAUCUUUGAACGCACAUUGCGCCCGCCAGUAUUCUGGCGGGCAUGCCUGUUCGAGCGUCAUUUCAACCAUCAAGCCCCCGGCUUGUGUUGGGGACCUGCGGCUGCCCGCAGGCCCUGAAAAAUAGUGGCGGGCUCGCUGUCACACCGAGCGUAGUAGCAUACAUUCUCGCUCAGGGCGUGCUGCGGGUCCCGGCCGUUAAACGACCUUCAUAACCCAAGGUUGACCUCGGAUCAGGUAGGAAGACCCGCUGAACUUAAGC